CUCAGCAGCUGUUGCUGUCAGGCCUUUGCUCUGGGCUUCCAGGCCUAGAAGAACCACACAAGGGCAGGGGCACUCUGGAAGCGACUUUGGAAGAGUUCCAGGAGAGUCUGCUCCCCAGCACUGCUGUAAAGAGCGCCCAGGCUCGUGCCACUUCCCCUGGUUUCUCUCCCAUGUGUGCCAGGCAGAGAUUCCAGGAUUAACCGGGAGACACCUGUUUGGAUUCUGUUUGAACACACACCUCAACAGCCCCUCUCUAACACGGGUGAGGACAGUCUGAGAGAAGUCAAAAUGUUGAACAUUUUACCAUGUGCAGCAGAGCCAACGCUUGAUCCCUCUCUCAGAACAAUGAAGCACCAUGCUGUGCCCUACUGAAGAGAGAAACAGAAGGGAAGGAUACAGUCCCCACCCUCAGAAGAAUUAUGGCUUUAUGGAGAGAGCAAGAGGGACAGGAAGGUGGAAGGCUGAAGAAAUGGAUCAGUUAAGAACACUUGCUGCUUGGGUCUCAGAAACACCUGCACCUACAUCUCAAGGGGAAUGGAUGCCCCGCUCUUCUGGCCUCCACGGGCAGCUGUGCACAUAUGUACAUAUACACAAA